rnacentral:rRNA from 1 species
GACAGAGGGUGCGAACGUUUGUUCGGAAUUACUGGGCGUAAAGCGCAUGUAGGCGGCAGCGCAAGUCGGGCGUGAAAUCCCACGGCUCAACCGUGGAAGUGCACUCGAAACUGCGCAGCUAGAGUCCUGGAGAGGAAGGUGGAAUGCUUGGUGUAGAGGUGAAAUUCGUAGAUAUCAAGCGGAACACCGGUGGCGAAGGCGGCCUUCUGGACAGUGACGUGACGGCUGAGAUGCGAAAGCGUCGGGGAGCAAACAGGGAUUAAGAAACCCUGAGU